UACGGAGGAUCCAAGCGUUAUCCGGAAUCAUUGGGUUUAAAGGGUUCGUAGGCGGUUUAGUAAGUCAGUGGUGAAAUUCCAUUGUUCAACGGUGGAACGGCCAUUGCUACUGCUAGACUUGAAUUAUUAGGAAGUAACUAGAAUAUGUAGUGUAGCGGUGAAAUGCUUAGAGAUUAUAUGGAAUAUCAAUUGCGAAGGCAGGUUAUUAUUAAUGGAUUGAUGCUGAUGGUUGAAAGCGUGGGUAGCGAACAGG
rnacentral:rRNA from 1 species